rnacentral:rRNA from 1 species
AGCUAGUUGGUGGGGUAAUGGCCUACCAAGGCGACGAUCCAUAGCUGGUCUGAGAGGAUGAUCAGCCACACCGGGACUGAGACACGGCCCGGACUCCUACGGGAGGCAGCAGUGGGGAAUAUUGCGCAAUGGGCGAAAGCCUGACGCAGCCAUGCCGCGUGUGUGAAGAAGGCCUUCGGGUUGUAAAGCACUUUCAAUUGGGAGGAAAGGUCAACGAUUAAUACUCGUUGGCUGUGACGUUACCUUUAGAAGAAGCACCGGCUAACUCCGUGCCAGCAGCCGCGGUAAUACGGAGGGUGCAAGCGUUGAUCGGAAUUACUGGGCGUAAAGCGCGCGUAGGCGGCUUGUUAAGUCGGAUGUGAAAGCCCUGGGCUCAACCUGGGAACUGCAUCCGAUACUGGCAAGCUAGAGUGCGAGAGGGGGAGGUGGAAUUCCAUGUGUAGCGGUGAAAUGCGUAGAUNAUAUGGAGGAACACCAGUGGCGAAGGCGGCCUCCUGGCUCGACACUGACGCUGAGGUGCGAAAGCGUGGGUAGCAAACAGGAUUAGAUACCCUGGUAGUCCACGCCGUAAACGAUGUCUACUAGCUGUUGGGGUACUUGAGACCUUGGUAGCGCAGCUAACGCACUAAGUAGACCGCCUGGGGAGUACGGCCGCAAGGUUNAAAACUCAAAUGAAUUGACGGGGGCCCGCACGAGCGGUGGAGCAUGUGGUUUAAUUCGAUGCAACGCGAAGAACCUUACCAAGCCUUGACAUCCUCGGAACUUUCCAGAAAUGGAUUGGUGCCUUCGGGAGCCGAGAGACAGGUGCUGCAUGGCUGUCGUCAGCUCGUGUCGUGAGAUGUUGGGUUAAGUCCCGUAACGAGCGCAACCCUUGUCCUUAGUUGCCAGCACUUCGGGUGGGAACUCUAAGGAGACUGCCGGUGACAAGCCGGAGGAAGGUGGGGACGACGUCAAGUCAUCAUGGCCCUUACGGCUUGGGCUACACACGUGCUACAAUGGCAAGUACAGACGGCUGCGAACCUGCGAAGGGGAGCCAAUCCGACAAAACUUGUCGUAGUCCGGAUCGGAGUCUGCAACUCGACUCCGUGAAGUCGGAAUCGCUAGUAAUCGCGAAUCAGAAUGUCGCGGUGAAUACGUUCCCGG